UACGUAGGGGGCUAGCGUUGUCCGGAUUUAUUGGGCGUAAAGAGCGUGUAGGCGGCCAGGUAGGUCUGGUGUGAAAACUCGAGGCUUAACCUCGAGAUGUCAUCGGAAACCAUCUGGCUAGAGUCCGGAAGAGGAGAGUGGAAUUCCUGGUGUAGCGGUGAAAUGCGCAGAUAUCAGGAAGAACACCGAUGGCGAAGGCAGGUCUCUGGGCUGACACUGACGCUCAUGCACGAAAGCGUGGGGAGCAAACAGG
rnacentral:rRNA from 1 species